rnacentral:tRNA from 1 species
CAGAGAGUAGUUUAAUCAAAAUUCUAGUUUUGGGGACUAGCGAUGAGAGAGUCUCUUCUUUCUGA